UAGGGAAUCUUCCACAAUGGACGCAAGUCUAGGAUGGAGCAACGCCGCGUGAGUGAAGAAGGUUUUCGGAUCGUAAAGCUCUGUUGUAAGAGAAGAACGUGUGUGAGAGUGGAAAGUUCACACAGUGACGGUAACUUACCAGAAAGGGACGGCUAACUACGUGUCAG
rnacentral:rRNA from 1 species